rnacentral:rRNA from 1 species
UACGUAGGGUGCGAGCGUUGCCCGGAAUUAUUGGGCGUAAAGAGCUCGUAGGCGGUCUGUCGCGUCGGCUGUGAAAUCCCGAGGCUCAACCUCGGGUCUGCAGUCGAUACGGGCAAACUAGAGUAUUGCAGGGGAGACUGGAAUUCCUGGUGUAGCGGUGAAAUGCGCAGAUAUCAGGAGGAACACCGGUGGCGAAGGCGGGUCUCUGGGCAAUAACUGACGCUGAGGAGCGAAAGCGUGGGGAGCAAACGGG